CCUACGGGUGGCUGCAGUGAGGAAUAUUGGUCAAUGGGCGGAAGCCUGAACCAGCCAAGUAGCGUGCAGGAUGACGGCCCUACGGGUUGUAAACUGCUUUUAUACGGGAAUAACGCGCCUUACGUGUAGGGCUUUGCAUGUACCGUAUGAAUAAGGACCGGCUAAUUCCGUGCCAGCAGCCGCGGUAAUACGGAAGGUCCGGGCGUUAUCCGGAUUUAUUGGGUUUAAAGGGUGCGCAGGCGGGCUGUUAAGCCGGCGGUAAAAAUUCAGGGCUCAACCCUGUCGAGCCGUCGGAACUGGCAGUCUUGAGUGGGCGAGAAGUAUGCGGAAUGCGUGGUGUAGCGGUGAAAUGCAUAGAUAUCACGCAGAACGCCGAUUGCGAAGGCAGCAUACCGGCGCCCAACUGACGCUGAGGCACGAAAGCGUGGGGAUCGAACAGGAUUAGAUACCCGGGUAGUC
rnacentral:rRNA from 1 species